rnacentral:rRNA from 1 species
GAUGAACGCUGGCGGCGUGCUUAACACAUGCAAGUCGAACGGUGAAAGAGAGCUUGCUCUCUGGAUCAGUGGCGAACGGGUGAGUAACACGUGAGCAAUCUGCCCCUGACUCUGGGAUAAGCGCUGGAAACGGCGUCUAAUACCGGAUACGAGCUGCGAAGGCAUCUUCAGCAGCUGGAAAGAACUUCGGUCAGGGAUGAGCUCGCGGCCUAUCAGCUAGUUGGUGAGGUAAUGGCUCACCAAGGCGUCGACGGGUAGCCGGCCUGAGAGGGUGACCGGCCACACUGGGACUGAGACACGGCCCAGACUCCUACGGGAGGCAGCAGUGGGGAAUAUUGCACAAUGGGCGCAAGCCUGAUGCAGCAACGCCGCGUGAGGGACGACGGCCUUCGGGUUGUAAACCUCUUUUAGCAGGGAAGAAGCGAAAGUGACGGUACCUGCAGAAAAAGCACCGGCUAACUACGUGCCAGCCGCCGCGGUAAAAC